UACGAAGGGGGCUAGCGUUGUUCGGAAUUACUGGGCGUAAAGCGCGCGUAGGCGGUGAUCUUUGUCAGAGGUGAAAGCCCGGGGCUCAACUCCGGAAUUGCCUUUGAAACGGGAUCGCUAGAGUCCGAGAGAGGAUGGCGGAAUUCCUAGUGUAGAGGUGAAAUUCGUAGAUAUUAGGAAGAACACCGGUGGCGAAGGCGGCCUGCUGGGCAGUAGCUGACGCUGAUGCGCGACAGCGUGGGGAGCAAACAGG
rnacentral:rRNA from 1 species